rnacentral:rRNA from 1 species
CCUACGGGCGGCAGCAGUGGGGAAUAUUGCACAAUGGGGGAAACCCUGAUGCAGCGACGCCGCGUGAGUGAAGAAGUAUUUCGGUAUGUAAAGCUCUAUCAGCAGGGAAGAAAAUGACGGUACCUGAUUAAGAAGCCCCGGCUAAAUACGGUCCAGCAGCCGCGGUAAUACGGAGGGGGCAAGCGUUAUCCGGAUUUACUGGGUGGAAAGGGAGCGUAGACGGCAGCACAAGUCUGGAGUGAAAUGCCGGGGCUUAACCCCGGAACUGCCUUUGAAACUGUUCAGCUAGAGUGCAGGAGAGGUAAGUGGAAUUCCUAGUGUAGCGGUGAAAUGCGUAGAUAUUAGGAGGAACACCAGUGGCGAAGGAGGCUUACUGGACUGUAACUGACGUUGAGGCUCGAAAGCGUGGGGAGCAAACAGGAUUAGAUACCCCAGUAGUC